GACGGGGGGUCCUAGCGUUGCUCGGAAUCAUUGGGCGUAAAGCGGACGUAGGCGGCUAUGCAAGUCAGGAGUGAAAGCCCUGGGCUCAACCCAGGAAGUGCUUUUGAAACUGCUUAGCUUGAGUGUGGGAGAGGGUCGUAGAAUUCCUGGUGUAGUGGUGAAAUACGUAGAUAUCAGGAGGAACACCGGUGGCGAAGGCGGCGGCCUGGCCCAACACUGACGCUGAGGUCCGAAAGCGUGGGGAGCAAACAGG
rnacentral:rRNA from 1 species